UUCUUAUGCCGGGAAUCGAACCCGGAUCUUCUGAGUGAAAACCAGAUAUCCUAGCCACUAGAUCACAUGGGA